UGCUCAUGAUUUGGGCAAUUUCUCCACAUAUCCUUGAAUCUUUCCCAAGCCUCAUAGAAUAACUCAUCCAGAUGCUGCUCAAAAGAAAGCAAUUCACCCCUUAAUGUA